rnacentral:rRNA from 1 species
UACGUAGGGUGCAGGCGUUAAUCGGAAUUACUGGGCGUAAAGCGUGCGCAGGCGGCUUCCCAAGUCAGAUGUGAAAUCCCCGGGCUCAACCUGGGAACUGCGUUUGAAACUGGGAGGCUAGAGUGCGGCAGAGGGGGGUGGAAUUCCACGUGUAGCAGUGAAAUGCGUAGAUAUGUGGAGGAACACCGAUGGCGAAGGCAGCCCCCUGGGCCAGCACUGACGCUCAUGCACGAAAGCGUGGGGAGCAAAC